rnacentral:rRNA from 1 species
AUUGAACGCUGGCGGCAUGCCUUACACAUGCAAGUCGAACGGCAGCACGGGAGCAAUCCUGGUGGCGAGUGGCGAACGGGUGAGUAAUAUAUCGGAACGUGCCCAGUCGUGGGGAUAACGUAGCGAAAGCUACGCUAAUACCGCAUACGAUCUAUGGAUGAAAGCGGGGGAUCGCAAGACCUCGCGCGAUUGGAGCGGCCGAUAUCAGAUUAGGUAGUUGGUGAGGUAAAGGCUCACCAAGCCGACGAUCUGUAGCUGGUCUGAGAGGACGACCAGCCACACUGGGACUGAGACACGGCCCAGACUCCUACGGAGGCAGCAGUGGGGGAAUUUUUGGGACAAUGGGCGAAAGCCUGAUCCAGCCAUGCCGCGUGUGUGAAGAAGGUCUUCGGAUUGUAAACUGCUUUUGUACGGAACGAAACGGUGAGCUCUAAUACAGUUUGC